UCGGUGAGCUGUCUUAUGGGUGGAGGGUGACGGGUGAGGAAUACAUCGAUCUACCGGGGGGAUAACGUAGGACUACGCUAAUACCGCUACGACCUACGGGUGAAAGCGGGGACUUCGACCUUGCGAUUGAAUGAAUGUCNGAUUUUGGCGGGGUAGGCCCACCAAGGCGACGAUCCGUAGCUGGUCUGAGAGGAUGAUCAGCCACACUGGAACUGAGACACGGUCCAGACUCCUACGGGAGGCAGCAGUGGGGAAUAUUGGACAAUGGGCGCAAGCCUGAUCCAGCCAUACCGCGUGGGUGAAGAAGGCCUUCGGGUUGUAAAGCCCUUUUGUUGGGAAAGAAAUCCAGCCGGCUAAUACCUGGUUGGGAUGACGGUACCCAAAGAAUAAGCACCGGCUAACUUCGUGCCAGCAGCCGCGGUAAUACGAAGGGUGCAAGCGUUACUCGGAAUUACUGGGCGUAAAGCGUGCGUAGGUGGUUGUUUAAGUCUGUUGUGAAAGCCCUGGGCUCAACCUGGGAACUGCAGUGGAAACUGGACAACUAGAGUGUGGUAGAGGGUAGCGGAAUUCCCGGUGUAGCAGUGAAAUGCGUANAGAUCGGGAGGAACAUCCAUGGCGAANGCAGCUACCUGGACCAACACUGACACUGAGGCACGAAAGCGUGGGGAGCAAACAGGAUUAGAUACCUGGUAGUCCACCCCUACGAUGCGACUGUGUUGGGUGCAAUUUGGCACGCAUAUCAACUAACGCGUAAGUCGCCCCUGGGGAGACGGCGCAGAUGAAACUCAAAGGAAUUGAGGGGGCCCCAAGCGGAGUAUGUGUUUAUUCAUGCAAAAACCUUACGCAAGAACUUUUUGGAUGGCUCGGAAAAGCUGUCGCGAGGUA
rnacentral:rRNA from 1 species